rnacentral:rRNA from 1 species
CACGUAGGCGGCUUGUUAAGUCUGGGGUGAAAUCUCCCGGCUCAACCGGGAGGGGUCCUCGGAUACUGGCAGGCUGGAGGGGAGCAGAGGAGAGCGGAAUUCCCGGUGUAGUGGUGAAAUGCGUAGAUAUCGGGAGGAACACCAGUGGCGAAGGCGGCUCUCUGGGCUCUACCUGACGCUGAGGUGCGAAAGCAUGGGGAGCGAACCGGAUUAGAUACCCGGGUAGUCCACGCUGUAAACGAUGGACACUAGGUGUGGGGGGUAUCGACCCCCUCCGUGCCGAAGCUAACGCUAUAAGUGUCCCGCCUGGGGAGUACGGCCGCAAGGCUAAA